rnacentral:lncRNA from 1 species
GGCCCGUUCACGCAUGCGCGGUGCAGCCUGCCGCCUCGGUUCGGUCGCUACGCAACCUCUCGCCGCUUUAAAUUUAAGUAUAAUUUCUUACCUAGUGAGUAGGCGACCUUGGUGGGACUGACUCUUCCCAGCUCUCCCGAGAAUGUAACGAUGUUGAACCAGACGAGAACAAUUUCCUUGAGCUUUAACUGCCUGUAACACUAGUUGGAGCCUGUUCUUGACAACACCUACAGUUGAGCAUCAAAGCAGCCUGAUAGCUACUGCUGUGUAAUUUAGCUCUAUGUCAAAAUUUAAAAAUGUGAAGAGGAAGAUAAAAGCUAGAACUCAGUGACUGAGCUCGAUCACCAGCCGCUGCAGAGGGGAGAGGAAGGACAAGCUUAGAGUCAUGGAGCCUUAGUGAAGAAGGCCAGGAGAAUCAACUCAGGCGUCUGGAAAAAGCAAGAGACACAGAGAAAAGGGGGUUGUCACACAUUCCUGCUAUUAGUCCCAGCACUGUGGCUUGGGGCUAUGGGUGGAGGCAGGCCGAUCUCUGCGAGUUCAAGGCCAGCCUGGGUUACAUAGUUCCAGCUACAUAGACUUUGGAAAAUGCUUUUAUCCUUUGCCACUCCAGCUUUCCUGUCAGGUGACUCUUUCCACCAGAUCUUUUGAUACAGAAGCAGGGGGACACCACCACUGCCCCUGCUGCAAACUGUCUUUCUUAAAUCGUAG